rnacentral:rRNA from 1 species
AGCAGCCGCGGUAACACCGGCAGCUCUAGUGGUAGCAGUUUUAUUGGGCCUAAAGCGUCCGUAGCCGGUUUAAUAAGGUCUCUGGUGAAAUCCUGUAGCUUAACUGUGGGAAUUGCUGGAGAUACUAUUAGACUUGAGACCGGGGAGAGGUUAGAGGUACGUCCCAGGGUAGAGGUCGAAAUUCUGUAAUCCUGGGAGGACCGCCUGUUGCGAAAGGCGUCUAACUGGAACGGUUCUGACGGUGAGGGACGAAAGUUAGGGGCGCGAACCGGAUUAGGAUACCCGGGUAGUCCUAACCGUAAACGAUGCGGACUUGGUGUUGGGGUGGCUUUGAGCUGCUCCAGUGCCGAAGGGAAGCUGUUAAGUCCGCCGCCUGGGAAGUACGGUCGCAAGACUGAAACUUGAAGGAAUUGGCGGGGGAGCACCACAACGCGUGGAGCCUGCCGGGUUUAAUUGGAUUCAACGCCGGACAUCGUCACCAGAGGCGACAGCUGUAUGAUAGCCAGGCUGAUGACUUUGCUUGACUAGCUGAGGGGUGGUGCAUGG